UAGCGAUUUCUAAAUGUAUUGCCUUUGUGGCAAAACAAAUAAAUAAGCAUAAAUAGCUCUUCGAUAUUUUACAACCGCGUCCCUUUCUGUCUGUGAUCAAGAACGGCCCGGCAAAAUCUACACCGCUGACUUCGAAUGGAUAACUUGGAGUAACUCUUGAAGCUGAAGAAUUUUGGAGACGGCCACCGACACGCAGGAACCCGUUAUCGUCUAGAAAUGGACUUAGAGAAAGCAGUCGCGAUUUAGAAGAUUCUACAGCCGCUCAUUUUGCACUGGAAUGAUCGAUGGCCGCCUCGGAAACAAUUCUUACAUAGACGACCGGCAGAAACCUUAGCAAUACGUUCUUCUAUUGAUAACGAUUUAAACAUACUGCAGUCAAACAACUUGUGUUUUAAACCACAAACUGUGCAAGAAAAAUCAGGAGAUGUCUUUGAGGAAAUCAUAAAUGAUUUAGAUUUAACCAUAUUGUUGCGUUUUUCAUUUUUAUUUGAUCUAUUAGCAUUGACUGUCUCUAAAACUGUUGCCCUUUGACGUAAAAAUGUAUAAAAAUUUUGUAAAGUAGGUGAUUCCUUAUUGCUUCUAAAUUCUUCCCAUUUACCCGCUGUAAUACUGUCUAAUUUACUAACUGCUAUGUAUAUAAUAAUCGUGUCCCAUGAAUCAGUCGGCUCUUCUAAACUAUU